rnacentral:rRNA from 1 species
AUGAACGCUAGCUACAGGCUUAACACAUGCAAGUCGAGGGGCAGCAUGGUCUUAGCUUGCUAAGGCCGAUGGCGACCGGCGCACGGGUGAGUAACACGUAUCCAACCUGCCGUCUACUCUUGGACAGCCUUCUGAAAGGAAGAUUAAUACAAGAUGGCAUCAUGAGUCCGCAUGUUCACAUGAUUAAAGGUAUUCCGGUAGACGAUGGGGAUGCGUUCCAUUAGAUAGUAGGCGGGGUAACGGCCCACCUAGUCUUCGAUGGAUAGGGGUUCUGAGAGGAAGGUCCCCCACAUUGGAACUGAGACACGGUCCAAACUCCUACGGGAGGCAGCAGUGAGGAAUAUUGGUCAAUGGGCGAGAGCCUGAACCAGCCAAGUAGCGUGAAGGAUGACUGCCCUAUGGGUUGUAAACUUCUUUUAUAAAGGAAUAAAGUCGGGUAUGGAUACCCGUUUGCAUGUACUUUAUGAAUAAGGAUCGGCUAACUCCGUGCCAGCAGCCGCGGUAAUACGGAGGAUCCGAGCGUUAUCCGGAUUUAUUGGGUUUAAAGGGAGCGUAGAUGGAUGUUUAAGUCAGUUGUGAAAGUUUGCGGCUCAACCGUAAAAUUGCAGUUGAUACUGGAUAUCUUGAGUGCAGUUGAGGUAGGCGGAAUUCGUGGUGUAGCGGUGAAAUGCUUAGAUAUCACGAAGAACUCCGAUUGCGAAGGCAGCCUGCUAAGCUGCAACUGACAUUGAGGCUCGAAAGUGUGGGUAUCAAACAGGAUUAGAUACCCUGGUAGUCCACACGGUAAACGAUGAAUACUCGCUGUUUGCGAUAUACUGCAAGCGGCCAAGCGAAAGCGUUAAGUAUUCCACCUGGGGAGUACGCCGGCAACGGUGAAACUCAAAGGAAUUGACGGGGGCCCGCACAAGCGGAGGAACAUGUGGUUUAAUUCGAUGAUACGCGAGGAACCUUACCCGGGCUUAAAUUGCAGAUGAAUUACGGUGAAAGCCGUAAGCCGCAAGGCAUCUGUGAAGGUGCUGCAUGGUUGUCGUCAGCUCGUGCCGUGAGGUGUCGGCUUAAGUGCCAUAACGAGCGCAACCCUUGUUGUCAGUUACUAACAGGUUCCGCUGAGGACUCUGACAAGACUGCCAUCGUAAGAUGUGAGGAAGGUGGGGAUGACGUCAAAUCAGCACGGCCCUUACGUCCGGGGCUACACACGUGUUACAAUGGGGGGUACAGAGGGCCGCUACCACGCGAGUGGAUGCCAAUCCCCAAAACCUCUCUCAGUUCGGACUGGAGUCUGCAACCCGACUCCACGAAGCUGGAUUCGCUAGUAAUCGCGCAUCAGCCACGGCGCGGUGAAUACGUUCCCGGGCCUUGUACACACCGCCCGUCAAGCCAUGGGAGCCGGGGGUACCUGAAGUGCGUAACCGCGAGGAGCGCCCUAGGGUAAAACUGGUGACUGGGGCU